CGCGUAGGUGGUUUGUUAAGUUGGAUGUGGAAGCCCCGGGCUCAACCUGGGAACUGCAUCCAAAACUGGCAAGCUAGAGUACGGUAGAGGGUGGUGGAAUUUCCUGUGUAGCGGUGAAAUGCGUAGAUAUAGGAAGGAACACCAGUGGCGAAGGCGACCACCUGGACUGAUACUGACACUGAGGUGCGAAAGCGUGGGGAGCAAACA
rnacentral:rRNA from 1 species